GGGAACCAAUAGGAGAGCAGAGGAGGCGGGAGUUACCAGUUCCUUGCCAGUAUAUAGGUUGGGCGCCCCAGGAAUCCCCAUCCCACAGUUCCUGGCUGAACCCUCACAGGUCCCUGAGCUCCACCUAUUACUGCAGACAUGAAAGUCCUGGCUCUGGUAGUUCUGGUCAUUGCCAUCAGCGGCAUGGAAGCCGGAGUCGUCAGGAGAGAAGUCCCCAGUGUGGAGGAACUGACCAAAUUGAUUCAAACCUGGGCUGAAUAUGCACAGACACAGGCACAGGAAUGGGUGGCCAAGAUCCAAAAUGCCGAUAUCAAUGGCCAGGCAGGGCAAAUCAUGGAAGAAGCCAAAGCUAAACUGGAACCAUUUCAGACCCAAAUGCUAGAACUCUACACCCAGUUCACUGACAAGAAGGCAUAAAUGAAUCGUUCCUGGAAGCCCCUCCCCAAAUCCUACAGACCCCACCCCCACCCUGAUUUUAUUUGGUUACGGUCCAUUCAACUGUUUGUGGUGCAAUAAAAACUCUGUUUCCCAUCA